ACCACUCUGCUCAUUUCUACUCUAUCAGCAAGAGAAGUUCUCUUACUCAUUCCACAAAAACACACUUAAGAGAAAACUCAAAAUACAUGCUACGGAAUUCAAGAGCUCUAUUCCAUCGAUCUACAGCAAACUACCAAGCACAAACCUCCACCUUCACCAUUCAAUAAUUCCCACAAAUUUGCUUUGCCGAGUAGCUCAAUUUUCAGCAUCCAAGCAAUUUCAUAGCUUUUGAAUAGAACGCUCCCAAGGCUUUGUGGACCAAGGGGAUUAGCGCUGCUUUCCUAAGACAAGUUUCUAUGUUUAUGAUCUUCAGGCUUUGCCUAUCUAGGUGAGCUUACUUUUUAAAUGUAUAAUGUAUGAUUGAGUUAUUAAGCUCUAAAUAUUUCAAUGAAAUGCAAACUGUUUAUUCAAUAAAAUGUUUAUGUGCACUAUGCUCUAUUUAAGACUCGCAAAGUUAAUCAAUUGAGGUUCUCUUAUGACCUAACAUGUUGUGUGAGAAUCGUGUACAUAUGCUAGCUAACCUGGUGGGUUGAUCUCCAUCGAGCAUUGGCCAGAGGUGUUAAUGGUGCUCAGCUGGAUGUGUUCCGGAGCAUGUGAAACAUAAGGGCCUGCCUGGGUAGCAUCCCGAUGUCAAAGUAAACUUGUCUGGGUUACGCCAUCAGUUCAAGUAAGCAGGAGUAAAGGAUCCGACAGUGGCUAAAAGGUCCGGGAUCACAGCGAGUAACAGAAAGAGAGUGUGACACAUGCGCACAAAUGAAAGAAAUUAUUUUAACAUGCUUAGAAGUUCUUUUAGUUUAAAACCUUUUAAGUUAUGUCAAUUAUGAUUGGAUAAUCUGUCUUUACGAAAAUAUGAAAUGUUUCAGAAAA